GAAUCCUCACUGCACUUGAUAUUCAGCUGGGAGAGACCCCAGACGGGAAGGACUCCUUUGAAUUGUGUUUGCCACUGUCACAUCUUCUCCAGAUCGAGAUAAUGUGGUUCAAGGAUAAUAAGGGCCACAGUAACCCACUUGGUCAAGGUGCAGAACUUUGGGAGCUGGGCUCAUGGUGUGUUGAACUUUUCCCGCCUCGGGGAGAAUGGUGAUUUUGUCAGCCAGAGCCACAGAAGGGGAAAGGAUGCCGUUUAAGUGGCUGGAAGAUGGCAGCUUUGGACAGAAACAUUCCACUCCUGCAUAGAAAUGUUCCAAAGACAUUAACUUGACUGCCUGCAUUUGGUGGGAACUAAAGAAUCAUUAAAAGGCAAGACUACUAUCGCACAAAGAGGAUGGACAUUGGCUGUUUCCCAUUCGGAAGCCCGAACCUCGUCUGAUCCCAUCGGGCUGAGAGCUGUGAUUAGUGAUGGUAAUUAUUAAGUACUAACUAGGUCCCCAACAUUGUGCUAAGUGUCUCAAUGGAGACGACAGUCAGACCAGACACAGCUUUUAGGACAUGGCUCCUGUGACCCAAACAACGUCAUUUAGAACUGUCUCUGUGGAGAGAUGCCAGCCUGCCUCAUCAUUCUAACAUGCUCUGAAUAAAAGAGUCUUUCCCAUUUUA